rnacentral:rRNA from 1 species
CCUAUGAAGCUUUACUGUAACUUGAAAUUGAAAUUGGACUUUAGUCGCGCAGUAUAGGUGGGAGGCGUUGAAAAUAUUCUUGCGGGAAUAUUGGAGCCAUCAGUGAGAUACCACUCUUCUAAUGUUAGAUUUCUAACUCUGUAUCAUUAUCUGGUCAGAGAACAGUUUCAGGCGGGCAGUUUGACUGGGGCGGUCGCCUCCCAAAUGGUAACGGAGGCGUACAAAGGUUUCCUCUGAACGUGUAGAAAUCGUAUCUAGAGUGUAAAGGCAUAAGGAAGCUUGACUGUGAGACUUACAAGUCGAGCAGGGACGAAAGUCGGUCUUAGUGAUCUGACGGUACUGAGUGGAAAGG